UCAGUUGUUGUGGCCUAAGGACUAGCCAUUCCGGUAUUGCUUGACAAGAGAGCUUUGAACUCGACUUCCCAUGAAGGCUGCACACAAUAAUCAGUUUAAGCUCAAGGACAUCACGAAAAAGAUAGCGAGAAGGUUUUGUUUUAAACCUGCCGAGAGGAAACUUUGGCCAUAUCUUCAGAUUCGUUGCUCGAACCUAAAUAACUUAAGGGCCUAGCCCAGUGUCUUAGACUGCUUCUCAGUUCACGCGGCCGA
rnacentral:lncRNA from 1 species